UACGUAGGGCGCAAGCGUUGUCCGGAAUUAUUGGGCGUAAAGAGCUCGUAGGCGGUCUGUCGCGUCCGUUGUGAAAACUCGAGGCUCAACCUCGGGCUUGCAGUGGAUACGGGCAGACUAGAGUGCGGUAGGGGAGACUGAAAUUCCUGGUGUAGCGGUGGAAUGCGCAGAUAUCAGGAGGAACACCGAUGGCGAAGGCAGCCUUCUGGGCCAACACUGACGCUCAUGCACGAAAGCGUGGGGAGCAAACAGG
rnacentral:rRNA from 1 species